UCCAGACUCCUACGGGAGGCAGCAGUGGGGAAUAUUGCACAAUGGGGGGAACCCUGAUGCAGCGACGCCGCGUGAGUGAAGAAGUAUCUCGGUACGUAAAGCUCUAUCAGCAGGGAAGAAAAUGACGGUACCUGACUAAGAAGCCCCGGCUAACUACGUGCCAGCAGCCGCGGUAAUACGUAGGGGGCGAGCGUUAUCCGGAUUCACUGGGUGUAAAGGGAGCGUAGACAGCCAUGCAAGCCAGGGGUGAAAGCCCGGGGCCCAACCCCGGGACUGCCCUUGGAACUGCAUGGCUGGAGUGCGGGAGGGGCAGGCGGAAUUCCUGGUGUAGCGGUGAAAUGCGUAGAUAUCAGGAGGAACACCGGCGGCGAAGGCGGCUUGCUGGACAGUAACUGACGUUGAGGCUCGAAAGCGUGGGGAGCAAACAGGAUUAGAUACCCCAGUA
rnacentral:rRNA from 1 species